GAGUAUAUGUUUAUAGUGGGAUAGAGAUAAGAUUGUAGUUAGUAGCCAUAGCUGAAAGGUCAAUAUGUGUUUGGUGAGUUUUAAUUUUUAAUUUUUUUAAUGUUCUAAAAUAGUUUCUCCUGCCCAAUAAAGAGAGAAGGCUUGCUUAUUAUGUGACUCUCUUACUAGAGUGCAUUAUUUGACUCUAAAAUAAUUUCUCCAGCCCUUCUCCCCUAAAGUCACAUUCACAUUUCUCAUACGAACAAACAGAUCAGAAAAACAAAAACAAAAAAAAAUUGAGUGAGGGAGAGAGAUGGCUUGUGUUGCUUUAGCUUCUCUAAUCUCAACAAUUCAGCUUGAGUUUCUACAACCCUUCCCAAGGGUGCCUCUUCUUCAUCAGCCAUCAAUCCAAUCUUUCUUUGAAAGCAUUUGUUCUUUGCAAGCCUUUCUACAGGAAUCCAGUGGUGGUGGUGCUGCAAUCAAAGAUUUGGAAAUCGAAAUCAGAGACUUUGCACUCAAAGCUGAAGACGACAUCGAAAUACAACUAAGCAACUUUGUUUUUGCCAAAGGCAGAGAGGAUCAGGAAAAAGCUUCCCAACAACUCCAUCUAGCCUUGCAAGAAGCAGCAGAAAACGCAUCAGAGUUGCUGAAUAUUAUCGACAACAUAAGCAAUAAUGUUGCUGGUGAUGAUGAUAAUGAAGCUCAACCACCACUCCACUGGCUAAAACCUGCUUCUGAGUCUCAGAAUGGUAAAUCAAAUGGAUCCUCACGAAAGCUUUUGGGCAGUCAUUCUAGAAAUAGUUGUGGAAAGAUAAUCUUCGAGCUCUGGUUUUGUGGUAUUCUAAAAAUAAUCUCAAUUGUUGGGAUGGUGGGCGUUGGAAAAACUACUUUAGCUAAAAGUGUCUACCUAGAUCCAGAAGUUGGAAAGCGUUUUGAUGUACGAGGUUGGAUUACUAUGCCUCAACAAUAUAACAAGAACCAAUUGCUGGAUUUGCUGCGCCUCCUUCAGUCAUUUUCACCGGCAGCGGAGAAGAAAAUUGAAAUGGGAAGUUGUGCUCCUGAAGAAGUACAAGUGCAGGUAAGGAGUCACUUGCUUGGCAAAAGGUAUCUAAUUGUACUAGAUAAUUUACAGUUAGAUAAUUGGGGUGAUAUCCGAGGAUGUUUUCCUGAAGACAACAAUGGAAGUUGCAUAUUGGUAACCACUACGCACUUUGAUCGGUAUGUCAUCAGUGGCUUGAAAAUCUAUAUUCACAGCAUGACUUUGCUAGAUCCAAAUGAAAGUUGGGAUCUGUUUUGCCGUACCCUUUCUAAGGGGAGUAUGUCAAGAUCACCUGAAUUAGAAAAAAUUAGGGGCAAUAUUAUAGAGAUAUGUGAUGGACUACCAUUGACAAUUGUUGUAGUUGCAAAGCGUCUAUCUAAAUGCAACGACGUGUUAAAGAAAUGGGAGAAGAUUAAAAAGGAAAUAGAGUCAUUGGGGAUUCUUGAUCGCAAUACUCUCAUUUUCCAUUACAAUAAAUUGUCGCAAAUUUUGAAAGUUUGCUUUCUAUAUCUUGGAGUCUUCCCAAAACGCAAAGAAAUCCAAGUCAAAAACCUAAUUGGGUUAUGGAUUGCCGAGGGAUAUUUUGAGCCAUUAGAGUUUGAAAAGCAAGAAAGUCAAGGUUAUGCAUAUUUACAAGAGCUUAUUGAAAGAAGACUUGUUUUAAUAUGCAAUCAGAAAUCUAAUGGCAAAAUUAAGACUUGUAGGAUGCAUAGUGCCAUGCAUAGCUUCUGUGUUGGAGAAGCUCAGAAAGAGGGUAUUUUUUGUGCUGUAAAUACUCUACAACAUUCAGGAUUGCCACUAAGUGAUUUUGCGAAUUCAAGUCGUUGGUUAAGUUUAUGCAAACAUAGUUUUGACUAUUAUGUUUUGUUUAGUUCGAACAAGCCUCGCUCCAUUUUCUUCUUUGAUGAAGAUCCUAAAACUUUUGUACCCUUCAAGUUGUUAAGAGUUUUGGCCUUUGUUCCUUCUCCAUUCCUUCAAAGAGUGUCAAUGCAUUUGGGUGAUUUAAUUUUUUUGAGAUACCUAUUUAUAAGUAAGAGGUUUGAGGGUUUGGGUAAUAUACUGUCAAAAAACCCAAAUUUGCAGACACUUAUUGUUUCCAGUGAUGAACCACAAAUUGGAGCACCUACAAUUCAUUUGCCAUCCACAAUUUGGAAGUUACCACGGUUGAGACAUCUUGAACUUGGAGAUAUGUAUACGAUGGAUCCUCCCUGCACGGUUAAAGCGAAAUUGCAAACACUAUCUUGGGUGAGUCCAACUCAUUGUAGAAACUUAACACUAUCCUUGGUGAGUCCAACUCAUUGUGGAAUGGAAGUGUUUCCAAACUUAAGAAAACUGAAAAUUUUCUAUAAAGAUGACUUAGAGUUCAAUCGCACUCAUGGAUCUUCAAGCAAUCCCAUCAUUUUGGAAAAUUUUGGAUAUUUAAAACAGCUUCAGAGGCUAAAGAUUUCUGUUUCGGUUAGCUGCGCUGUGGUAUAUACUGAACGAUUUAUGUGUCCUUUACAACUGCAGAAGUUGAGUUUGAGUGGGAUGAAUCUUUCUAAGAGAGAUUUAACAGUAAUUGGCAUGUUGCCGGAGCUUAAGGUGCUCAAGCUUGAAAAUGCCUUCCUAGAAAGAGUAUGGGAAGUGGUUGAAGGAGGAUUCCGUGAAUUAAGAUUCUUGCUUGUGAAAGAUAAAAACCUCCUGCAGUUUUUGGCUGAUGAAAAAUCCUUCAAACAUCUUGAGCGUCUAGUUCUAAGAUGUUGUUGCUAUUUGGAAGAAAUCCCAUCUAGUUUUGUAGAUAUUUCUACCCUAAAGUCAAUAGAAUUGGAUAGGUGUAGCCCUAUUGCUGUUACUUUCGCCACCAAGCGGAUGGCGCAUGGUAGAAUUAAGCUCAUAAUCCAUAAGACUGAAGAUGAGCCACCACCAUAUCCUCUCAGUGAAUUAACCAUUGGUUUGGGUGAUGAAUCACAAAUUGGAGCUCCUACCACUGAUUUUCCAUGCAGAAUUUCAGAAUUACCACAAUUGAGGCAUCUUGAACUUACUGAUGUGUAUAUUGCAGAUCCUCCAAGCAUGGUUGAAGGGAAAUUGAAAACAUUAUCUUUGGUGGUUCCAUGCCAUUGUCGUAAGAAAGUGUAUUACAGUUUCCCAAACAUUAAAAAAUUGAAACUUUUUUAUAAACAAGACUCGGAGCCUACUCACAUUGAUGGAUCUUCUAGCAAUCUCAUCAUUUUAGAUGAACUAGACUUUUUGGAACAGCUUGAGAGCCUAACAAUUUCAGUUCCUGUUGGCCGCAUUGUAACUUAUCCUGAAUUUGUUGGCCGCAUUGUAACUUAUCCUGAAUUUUUUAUGUUUCCUUCACAACUGAAGAAGUUGAGGUUGAGCGGGACUAAUCUUUCUCGGAUAGGUUUAGGAGAAAUUGGCACAAUGUGUAGGCUUGAGGUGCUCAAGCUUGAAAAUGUCUUGUUGGGAAGUCUGUGGGAAGUGGGUGGUGGAGAAUUCUAUAACUUAAGAUUCUUGCUCGUUCAAGAUAAAGAACUCAAGCAGUUGAAGGUUUAUGAUGAAGAAUAUGUUUUACCAUGUCUUGAGCGUCUAGUCUUAAGAUAUUGUUAUGGUUUAGAAGAGAUAUCAUUUGAAUGUGAACUUCACAGCAACCUGAAAUCAAUUGAGUUGUUUUGGUGUAACCCUUCUGCCAUUGCUUGUGCCAAGCAAAUCUUUGGAAAGAGACCUGAUAGAGGAGACAACGGAAUUGAGCUCAAAAUCAAUGGUGAUAUAUAUGAUGAACGUCCAAAUUAAAGCCAGGAGUCCAUAAAAGAGGCUUGACCAGUGAUAUGAUGAUCGAACCACAAAUUGGAGCUCCUACAUACACUUCAUUUGCCAUCCAAAAUUUGGGAGUUAACACACUUGAGGCAUCCCAGAGUGGUUAAAAUGAAUUCGCAAACAUUAUCUUGUUUGAAAGCUUUAGGAGUCAUUUGUUCAAUGUUGUAGAGAAAUGUGAAGGACUACCACAGUGAAAUCAAAGUCAAAACGCUUCUUAGGUUAUGGGUUGCAGAAGGAUUUGUGAUGCCAUCAAGGAAUAAAGAGUUAGAAAAGAUGGCUUAUUGUUACUUAAAGGAUCGGAUCUCAUUGAUAGAAGUCUUGUGUUAAUAAGGAGUCGAACUUUUAAUUUGAUGGAAAAGUUAAGACUUGUAGGGUGCACAAUGUCAUGCAUAAUAUUUGUUUCAGAGAGGCUCAGAAAGAGGGAAUAUUAUGUAUGUGUAGUAAAUACUCAGCAACGCCCAAAGUGGUCAUUAAACGCAUUUGCAAAUUUCUGUCGUUGGUUUAGCUUAUGCAAACAUAGUUUUGACUAUUAUGUAUUGUUGUUUAGUUUAAACAGCCCUCGUUCCGUUUUCUUCUUUCAA